UUGGUCAGCGAUGGCUGUUGUGUUGUGGAAGGAGAUUUUGACCAGACUGGUGUUGGGAUGCUACUGGAACAGCCUAUCCUGUGGCUUUGUGUUUGAUAAUGUCUCAGCCAUUCUGGACAACAAGGACCUGUGGCCCGCCACCCCACUCUGCAACCUGUUCUUCAAUGACUUCUGGGGCAUGCCCAUGUCUUAGGUGACUGGUGUUGUAGGAAGAGCGGAGCUCCUGUCCUCCAUCUUUCUCCUGGCAGCGUUCCUGGCCUACACCAGAUCUAAAGGAGCCGACCACUCCAUCGUGUGGACGCCCAUUGCUGUGACCGUGGUUUUGGUGGCUGCAGCCACAUUAUGCAAAGAGCAGGGGAUCACAGUCAUUGGCAUCUGCUGUGUCCAUGAGGUGUUUGUUUCACAAGGGUUCACACUACCCAUGCUGCUGGACACCCUCCUCCAGGUGCUGAGGGGUAAAGAUGGUUUCCCCUACGUCGUCCUGCAGACACUCCUCAAGCUCGUAAUCCUCAUCAUCAGCACCUUGCUGCUGGUCAUCAUCAGGGUACAGGUCAUCCAAUCACAGCUUCCCGUCUUUACCAGGUUCUCUCUCUCUCUCUCUCUCAACCCCACUUUGGCCAGGCAACUGACUUUCAACUACCUGUUGCCAGUGAACACCUGGCUCCUUCUCAACCCAUCAGAGCUGUGCUGUGACUGGACAAUGGGGACCAUUCCUCUGGUGGAGAGCCCUCUGACCUGAGGAACCUGGCCUGCUGGCCUAUCACAGCCUGCGCCACUCAAACUCCUCCGCCAAGACCGUCCUCAUGUCUCUCUCUUUGAUCGUGCUCCCCUUCAUCCCAGCCUCCAACCUCUUCUUCCCCGUGGGCUUCGUGGUGGCAGAGAGGGUCCCCAGUAUGGGAUUCUGUGUUCUCGUGGCACACGGCUAUAGGAUUGUCUCCCACAAAGGGUGAGUAGUACAGUAGUUAGCUUGGUCCCAGAUCUGUUUGUGUUUGCUCCUCACCACACACGCAGUCAAGACCUUCAACAGAAACUGGGACUGGGAAUCUGAAUACACGCUUUUCACCUCUGCCCUGAAACACGUAUCAAAGCUGCAGGCUAAAGUUAAAUCUAGACUUGGUCAUGUCAUGGAGAAGGAAACAUCUAAACCCAUGUGCUUACCCAUGUGCAUUCUCAUGUGGCAUGUCCCUGCAGAUGACAUCGGAGCCCAUAUGAAUGUGGGAAGAACCUACAAAAACCUGAACAAGUCCAAGGAGGCUGAGGAAGCCAACCUGGUUGCCAAAUCCCUCAUGCCACAGGUACUGUAUGUCACAAGGCCAACAACGCCUCAGCGCCCAGGUAAGAAGUACGCCACCCGAGUGGCCCAACCACCUGAACGUGUACAUUAACCUGGCGAACCUGAUUCGUACCAAUGACUCACGCCUGGAGGAGGCUGACCAACUCUACAGACAGGCCAUCAGCAUGAGGCCUGACUUCAAGCAAGCCUACAUCAGCAGAGGGGAGCUGCUGCUGAAGAUGAACAAGCCAUCCGAGGCCCGGGGUGCCUACCUGCGGGCCCUGGAGCUGGACAGAACCAACGCUGACCUCUGGUACAACCUGGCCAUCGUCAACAUUGAGAUAAAGGAGCCUUCAGGGGCCCUGAAGAACUUCAACUACGCCCAGGAGCUCAAACCACACCACAAACUGUCCCUCUUCAACUCUGCCCUGCUCAUAAAGGAAUCCAGUGAGCCCAGGUUCUUUCAGGAGGCCAACUGUCAUUUCCUGACCUACAUCCAGGAGGAGCCAGAUAAUGCCAACGGCUACUUCAACCUGGGGAUGCUUGCCAUGGACGCCAACGAGAAUGCUGCAACCGAGCGCUAGAUGAGGGAGGCCAUCCGUCUACAGACGGGCUUCCGCAGCGCCCUCUUCAACCUGGCCCUGCUCUACUCGCAGUCUCAACAGGAGGUGGAUGCCCAGCCUGUAUAAGACGAGCUACUGCACCACCACCCAGAGCAUGUUAAAGGUUUGAUUCUCAUGGGGGAUAUCCUGAUGAACCACAAGAAGGACAUCGAGGGUGCCAAGAUCUGCUUCUAGAGGAUCCUCCGUAUGGACCCCACCAACAUGCAAGGGAAACACAACCUGUGUGUGGUCUACUUCGAGGAGCAAGACCUGCCGAGAGCGAAGCGCUGCCUGGAGGAAAUGCUUGCCAUGGCACCCAACGAGGAGUACGUAUGCCGCCACCCGGGCAUCGUGCGCGGCAAGAUGGCGGCAGCCAUGUCUGCAGCGGGGCAGCCGCUGAGCCCAGCUUCAGCAGAGGGCGCUGCUACGCUAGCGAAGGCGGAGGUAAAUAAGCUGGGUAAGGAGGAGGAAGGGAGUGGAGCCACCGACAGCGAUAGGGUUGGGGAGGGUGCCGGGAAUAAGAAGAAUGCACGGAAAUCCUCCUCGGCAGAAAGCUUUCGAGGUGGCGGCGACAGCCAAUCAGAGCAUCUGAACGGCAGCCAGGCUGACAAACAGCUGAGGACUAAGAGCAAAUCCACAAAAGAGAUUAAAGAUAUAGAGAAGAAACGGGCAACCGCCUUGAAGAAACUGGAGGAGAUUGACUUCAUAUUAUGCGGUGAUUAACCUUGUUGUUAUUUACCGCAGUGCAGGACACAUUUUUGUAGAGCUAUUAACAGCUCCUGAAUCACAGGUGUGAUGCGUCCUAAAUUGCACCCUAUAAUAACAUAUACAAAACAUUAAGAACACCUGCUCUUUCCAUGACAUAGACUGGCCAGGUGAAUCCAGUUGAAAGCUAUGCGCCCUUAUUGAUGGCACUUAUUAAAUCCACUUCAGUCAGUCUAAAUGAAUGGGAGGAGAGAGGUGAAAAUAUUUUUUAAGCCUUGAGCCAAUUGAGGGUGAAUGGGCAAGACAAAAUAUUUAAGUGCCUUUGAACAGGGUAUGGUAGUAGGUGCCAGGCACACUGGUUUGU